AUCUGGAAGAUGGUAACCUUUAAUCUGUAUUUCCACAGGAUAUCAUUCAACAGAACAACAUUAAACAGCAGCUAUGCAGAACUCAGAUCAUACAGAGGAUGACUGUAACCUACGUAAUGACAACACAGUCAAUAGCACUGGUGCAGCAGGAGAGCAGCUUAUGGACUUUAGUACAGAGAUUAUGAGUGUCACAGAGAUGGAACAGUCUCCUGAUAGCUCUCCUGAUGUAAAUGAGGAGAUCACACAAGAGAGUGGAAUACCAAAUAUUCAAAGUUUACACACGACUGAUGUUGAGGCUCAUUUCCCUCCUGAAUAUGAGAAGUUCUGGAAAGUAGUAGAGGAGAAUCCCCAGGAUUUCACAGGUUGGGUAUAUCUGCUGCAGUACGUAGAGCAGGAGAACCACUUGCUGGCUGCCAGGAAAGCAUUUGACAGAUUUUUCACACAUUAUCCAUAUUGCUAUGGAUAUUGGAAAAAGUAUGCAGACCUUGAAAAGCGACAUGACAACAUUAAACAGUCUGAUGAGGUGUAUCGGAGAGGGCUGCAGGCAAUACCUCUUAGUGUUGAUCUUUGGAUACAUUAUAUAAACUUCUUAAAAGAGACACUGGAUCCUGUUGACCCUGAAACUAAUAAUACCGUAAGAGGAGCCUAUGAACAUGCAGUCUUAGCUGCAGGGACAGAUUUCCGCUCUGACAGACUAUGGGAAAUGUAUAUAAAUUGGGAAAAUGAACAAGGCAAUCUACGAGAAGUUACAGCUAUAUAUGAUCGUAUCCUGGGGAUUCCAACGCAGCUCUAUAGCCAUCACUUCCAGAGAUUUAAAGAACACAUACAAAAUAAUUUGCCUCGAGACCUUCUAACUCCUGAGCAGUUUAUUCAGCUGCGCCGGGAAUUGGCGUCUGUCAAUGGCCAUAAUGGGGAUGAUGCACCACCUGGAGAUGACCUUCCUACUGGAAUUGAGGACAUAACUGACCCUGCAAAGCUAAUCACUGAGAUAGAAAACAUGAGACAUAGAAUCCAAGAGAUUCAUCAAGAAAUGUUCAAUCACAAUGAACAUGAAGUCAGCAAGAGGUGGACCUUUGAAGAAGGAAUAAAACGACCUUACUUCCAUGUAAAACCUUUGGAGAAAGCCCAGUUGAAAAACUGGAAAGAAUACUUAGAGUUUGAGAUAGAAAAUGGGACUCAUGAGCGAGUUGUGGUCCUCUUUGAAAGAUGUGUUAUUUCAUGUGCCCUCUAUGAGGACUUCUGGAUUAAGUAUGCCAAGUAUAUGGAGAAUCACAGUAUUGAAGGAGUGAGACAUGUCUACAGCAGGGCCUGUACAAUACACCUUCCUAAGAAACCAAUGGUUCAUAUGCUAUGGGCUGCCUUUGAAGAACAGCAGGGGAACAUCAAUGAAGCAAGAAGAAUUUUGAAAACAUUUGAAGAGUGUGUUCUGGGACUUGCAAUGGUUCGCUUGCGAAGAGUUAGCUUAGAACGCCGACAUGGAAACAUGGAAGAAGCUGAGCACCUGCUUCAGGAAGCUGUUAAGAAUGCUAAAUCAAGCGGUGAAUCGUCAUUUUAUGCCAUCAAACUAACUCGACAUCUUUUCAAAGUUCAGAAGAACUUUCCAAAAGCAAGAAAAGUGCUGUUGGAAGCCAUUGAGAGAGACAAAGAGAACACUAAAUUGUAUCUCAACUUACUUGAAAUGGAGUAUAGUGGGGAUCUUAAGCAAAAUGAAGAAAACAUCCUCACAUGUUUUGACAAAGCUGUCAAUGGUACAUUGUCUAUAAAAAUGAGGAUUACAUUUUCUCAACGAAAAGUGGAAUUUCUGGAAGAUUUUGGUUCUGACGUCAACAAGCUUUUGGAUGCCUAUGAUGAACAUCAAACUCUUCUAAAAGAGCAGGAUUCUUUAAAAAGGAAAGCUGAAAAUGGCUCAGGGGAACCCGAUGAGAAGAAAGCACAUACAGAUGAUGUAACGUUGGCAUCUGGCCAAAUGAUGGAUGGAGACAUGCAAGCAAAUCAGGCAGCAUAUAAUUAUAAUGCAUGGUAUCAGGACACUGAACUGAAGCUCCAUUCACUGGAGCAGUCGAUGAAGGGCCUCUCUGGAUCCAGGAGUCAGGUACCAGAUAGAACAUCUGCAAGUAACCCCUCCAGUAGACAUAAGAUGCCCAGUUUGGUGGCAGAGCAAAUGCAGACAUCAAUGGUAGCAAAGUCUGGCAUCAGGAGGCCACUCCAAACAUCAGGGCAGAGACUCUAGGCAGCACUUGGGAUCUUCCAGGGGAAAGACUGCAUAAAGCCUUGAGGGGAGGCAGGGAGAUCACUGAGCCUCACGCUAAAUCUAGAGCUAGAGAUGGCUCCUUGUUAACCAUCAGCAUUGACCGUAGGAAAAGUCACUGACGACACUGAUAUAUGUAUUUGUGGAGGAUUCUGGUCCCAUGUUGAAAAGGACCCUGGUUCUGAGACAACCACUGUCCUGGUCCCUGAUACAGAGAAUGUCAUAUGUCUUGGCACCACUUCUAGAAGAAAUCUAUUCCUCACCACCCUCAAGCAGUACAACUACCAGAACGCAUGGAAUUAUGGACAGUAUUAUGCACCCCCACCAACCUGAUCAGAAGAGAGACUGGAGUUCGUUGUGGUGUUUCAGCAAAGAUGGAGUAUGAAAAUAUAUUUUUUUAAAUUAGGGAUGUGAACAAAUGAACUAUUGUAAUACCUGCAGUUUUGUCUUUUUGCAUGUGAAACGAGCCCAUGUUCAUGGGGUACGUGAAGCAAGAUUUGUGUGUUGGUAGAUACGUUGAGCUCUGUACACUGCUAGUUACCAGAAAUGUAACUUUAUUUCCCACACUAACUUAUGGAAAAAUUAUCUGGAGGCUUUUUUUGUUCUGUUGUUUUGAGUCAGCAUUGCUUCAGUAGGUAUUUUUGAAUCCCUCAAGCUACAAUCUUCUUUUAAGCAAUGAGGAAAUUCUGAUGUCCAGUGUUUGUCACAGUAGCCAAUACAGGAGAUGAACAGUAUGGAAAGGUCUAUGAACAUGAGCAGCCUCCUUUAAUUUUUUCCAUCUUUACCUGCUCUCCUCUUCACCAUCCAAAAACCUCAUUUCCUACCCAGCUCCUCCUGUGAAAUUUUUCAUGGUCUCAGUGAGCAGUGCCCUAAUGAGUCUGUUUAUUGCCAUGAUCAUAAUGCAUACAGGAAUGUCAACAUUUGAAAGUUGUGUAUUUUAUAUUUUACAUGGGGUCACAUUAAAUGCAGUGCAAAAUGGUUGCAUCCCUUUUUUAAAAAAGCACUGAAACUAUGGUGUUUGGGGUGGAUGUUUGUAAUUUAGAAUCUCAUGUACAAGUUGAGUAAACUUUUUCAUUUUGAUCAAAGUGAUCAUUCUCUUUUGUAAUAAAACCAAGGAAUUCAGUAAUUCUUUGA